AGUUAAGUAUCUGGAUCGAAAGUGAAUAGGUGAGUACAAUCUGUUAGCUUAGCUUUAGCUAUUUUGAUUUUUGGCUUACUUAAUCAACAAUGUAUUUGCUAUUGUAAAUCACCAAGCUCAAGCUUAAUUAGUCUAGGAUAGACUAGGUUGAAGAGGGAUACUAUGAUUGAGAUAAAGAGUGGCUAAAAGCAAGCUCAAAGGUAAAAUCAUGCAUUGCAUAUAUUAGUGUAUGUCGAAUCAAUGUCAUGAGUAGUCAUCCAUUACUACCAACUCAUUUAAAUUCUCACGUGAGACUCAUACUUGGC
rnacentral:lncRNA from 1 species